AGUGGUUACAGAGAUUUGUGCGAUGGAGAGUAAAAAAUGAGGGAUGACUCUGUUUGAUUUUGACUUCAAGAGUAGCAGGCAGCAAGCGGAGAGUAGGGGAGGUGUCCCUAAUUUUGUACCUCUAGAGUUGGGGGAAUCCAGAGACGACUUGGCUUUCAAAUCGCGUUGCGAGUGUAAAGGCAAAUGACGAUUUUACGGCAAGCUGUCACGUGUUAGCUGAAUAGCCCGGAUGUACCUAAUGUGAAAGAGACCUUGUUUUUCAGUGUUAGUUGUAGCUUAUUUAUGUUGUUCUUUUGGAGUAGAACUGCGCUAUGAUUUCGACUUGUAAACAUUCACGUUG